UCCAAAUAGGAAAGUCAAUAAACAGCUGACAUUUACCAAUGCCUUGCUUCCGGGUUAUUUUUUCUCCACUCUCCAGAUGUUCUGAAAUGUGUGGUUCCAGAUGCGUCACCUCCAACAGGAUGAUCCCACUCCCCUGGACUGCAUUGCACAAACUUGCGCCAGCAGCACACCGGGGGGACGCCGAAGUUGGAAAGUCUGCAGCGGAGGAGAGUGGGGCGUUGCCUGAGACUGGCUCCUACAGAUUGUGGAGGUGA
rnacentral:lncRNA from 1 species